rnacentral:rRNA from 1 species
GAUGAACGCUGGCGGCGUGCCUGAUACAUGCAAGUCGAGCGAACGGACGAGAAGCUUGCUUCUCUGAUGUUAGCGGCGGACGGGUGAGUAACACGUGGAUAACCUACCUAUAAGACUGGGAUAACUUCGGGAAACCGGAGCUAAUACCGGAUAAUAUUUUGAACCGCAUGGUUCAAAAGUGAAAGACGGUCUUGCUGUCACUUAUAGAUGGAUCCGCGCUGCAUUAGCUAGUUGGUAAGGUAACGGCUUACCAAGGCAACGAUGCAUAGCCGACCUGAGAGGGUGAUCGGCCACACUGGAACUGAGACACGGUCCAGACUCCUACGGGAGGCAGCAGUAGGGAAUCUUCCGCAAUGGGCGAAAGCCUGACGGAGCAACGCCGCGUGAGUGAUGAAGGUCUUCGGAUCGUAAAACUCUGUUAUUAGGGAAGAACAUAUGUGUAAGUAACUGUGCACAUCUUGACGGUACCUAAUCAGAAAGCCACGGCUAACUACGUGCCAGCAGCCGCGGUAAUACGUAGGUGGCAAGCGUUAUCCGGAAUUAUUGGGCGUAAAGCGCGCGUAGGCGGUUUUUUAAGUCUGAUGUGAAAGCCCACGGCUCAACCGUGGAGGGUCAUUGGAAACUGGAAAACUUGAGUGCAGAAGAGGAAAGUGGAAUUCCAUGUGUAGCGGUGAAAUGCGCAGAGAUAUGGAGGAACACCAGUGGCGAAGGCGACUUUCUGGUCUGUAACUGACGCUGAUGUGCGAAAGCGUGGGGAUCAAACAGGAUUAGAUACCCUGGUAGUCCACGCCGUAAACGAUGAGUGCUAAGUGUUAGGGGGUUUCCGCCCCUUAGUGCUGCAGCUAACGCAUUAAGCACUCCGCCUGGGGAGUACGACCGCAAGGUUGAAACUCAAAGGAAUUGACGGGGACCCGCACAAGCGGUGGAGCAUGUGGUUUAAUUCGAAGCAACGCGAAGAACCUUACCAAAUCUUGACAUCCUUUGACAACUCUAGAGAUAGAGCCUUCCCCUUCGGGGGACAAAGUGACAGGUGGUGCAUGGUUGUCGUCAGCUCGUGUCGUGAGAUGUUGGGUUAAGUCCCGCAACGAGCGCAACCCUUAAGCUUAGUUGCCAUCAUUAAGUUGGGCACUCUAAGUUGACUGCCGGUGACAAACCGGAGGAAGGUGGGGAUGACGUCAAAUCAUCAUGCCCCUUAUGAUUUGGGCUACACACGUGCUACAAUGGACAAUACAAAGGGCAGCGAAACCGCGAGGUCAAGCAAAUCCCAUAAAGUUGUUCUCAGUUCGGAUUGUAGUCUGCAACUCGACUACAUGAAGCUGGAAUCGCUAGUAAUCGUAGAUCAGCAUGCUACGGUGAAUACGUUCCCGGGUCU